GAGUUUGAUCUUGGCUCAGAUUGAACGCUGGCGGCAUGCCUUACACAUGCAAGUCGAACGGCAGCACGGGAGCUUGCUCCUGGUGGCGAGUGGCGAACGGGUGAGUAAUGCAUCGGAACGUAUCCUGGAGUGGGGGAUAACGUAGCGAAAGUUACGCUAAUACCGCAUAUUCUGUGAGCAGGAAAGCGGGGAACCUUCGGGCCUCGCGCUCUUGGAGCGGCCGAUGUCGGAUUAGCUAGUUGGUGAGGUAAAGGCUCACCAAGGCGACGAUCCGUAGCAGGUCUGAGAGGAUGAUCUGCCACACUGGAACUGAGACACGGUCCAGACUCCUACGGGAGGCAGCAGUGGGGAAUUUUGGACAAUGGGGGCAACCCUGAUCCAGCCAUGCCGCGUGAGUGAGGAAGGCCUCGG
rnacentral:rRNA from 1 species